GCCACUUAUUCUUCAUGCAAAAAAAAAAUUUAUGUAAAUUUUUCUCAUACUCAAAAGCUUUUCCAUAUCAAUAUCUAUCUUAUUUUUAAUUAAAAAUUAGUUAGUUUAAAUUUGAGUUCAAAUAGGUUUGAAUUUGAAUGAAACUUAGAGUCCAAAUUGAGUUGGACUCUUCUCUUCAUGCCAUCACCUUUCUCCAUGCGUAAAAUAUUUUUGCAUGAGAUUUUUUACACUAGUCUAAUGUUGGUCAAUCUCUCUUUGAGUUCAUGAGAUGAGGAUAAAGUUUGGU
rnacentral:lncRNA from 1 species